AGUGAACGCUGGCGGUAGGCCUAACACAUGCAAGUCGAACGGCAGCACAGUAAUAGCUUGCUCUUACGGGUGGCGAGUGGCGGACGGGUGAGGAAUACAUCGGAAUCUACUUUUUCGUGGGGGAGAACGUAGGGAAACUUACGCUAAUACCGCAUACGACGUACGUGUGAAAGCAGGGGAUCUUCGGACCUUGCGCGAUCGAAUGAGCCGAUGUCGGAUUAGCUAGUUGGCGGGGUAAAGGCCCACCAAGGCGACGAUCCGUAGCUGGUCUGAGAGGAUGAUCAGCCACACUGGAACUGAGACACGGUCCAGACUCCUACGGGAGGCAGCAGUGGGGAAUAUUGGACAAUGGGCGCAAGCCUGAUCCAGCCAUGCCGCGUGGGUGAAGAAGGCCUUCGGGUUGUAAAGCCCUUUUGUUGGGAAAGAAAAGCAGCAGGUUAAUACCCCGCUGUUCUGACGGUACCCAAAGAAUAAGCACCGGCUAACUUCGUG
rnacentral:rRNA from 1 species